rnacentral:rRNA from 1 species
AUUGAACGCUGGCGGCAGGCCUAACACAUGCAAGUCGAACGGUAACAGGAAACAGCUUGCUGUUUCGCUGACGAGUGGCGGACGGGUGAGUAAUGUCUGGGAAACUGCCUGAUGGAGGGGGAUAACUACUGGAAACGGUAGCUAAUACCGCAUAACGUCGCAAGACCAAAGAGGGGGACCCUCGGGCCUCUUGCCAUCGGAUGUGCCCAGAUGGGAUUAGCUUGUUGGUGGGGUAACGGCUCACCAAGGCGACGAUCCCUAGCUGGUCUGAGAGGAUGACCAGCCACACUGGAACUGAGACACGGUCCAGACUCCUACGGGAGGCAGCAGUGGGGAAUAUUGCACAAUGGGCGCAAGCCUGAUGCAGCCAUGCCGCGUGUAUGAAGAAGGCCUUCGGGUUGUAAAGUACUUUCAGCGGGGAGGAAGGGAGGAAAGUUAAUACCUCUGCUCAUUGACGUUACCCGCAGAAGAAGCACCGGCUAACUCCGUG